rnacentral:rRNA from 1 species
UACGAAGGGGGCUAGCGUUGUUCGGAAUUACUGGGCGUAAAGCGCACGUAGGCGGCUUUGUAAGUUAGAGGUGAAAGCCCGGGGCUCAACUCCGGAACUGCCUUUAAGACUGCAUCGCUUGAAUCCAGGAGAGGUGAGUGGAAUCCCGAGUGUAGAGGUGAAAUUCGUAGAUAUUCGGAAGAACACCAGUGGCGAAGGCGGCUCACUGGACUGGUAUUGACGCUGAGGUGCGAAAGCGUGGGGAGCAAACAGG